rnacentral:rRNA from 1 species
AUUGAACGCUGGCGGAAUGCUUUACACAUGCAAGUCGAACGGCAGCACGGACUUCGGUCUGGUGGCGAGUGGCGAACGGGUGAGUAAUGUAUCGGAACGUGCCCAGUCGUGGGGGAUAACGUAGUGAAAAUUACGCUAAUACCGCAUACGAUCUAUGGAUGAAAGCGGGGGAUCGCAAGACCUCGCGCGAUUGGAGCGGCCGAUAUCAGAUUAGGUAGUUGGUGGGGUAAAGGCCCACCAAGCCAACGAUCUGUAGCUGGUCUGAGAGGACGACCAGCCACACUGGAACUGAGACACGGUCCAGACUCCUACGGGAGGCAGCAGUGGGGAAUUUUGAACAAUGGGCGAAAGCCUGAUCCAGCCAUUCCGCGUGCAGGAUGAAGGCCCUCGGGUUGUAAACUGCUUUUGUACAGAACGAAAAGGUUUCUACUAAUACUAGGAGCUCAUGACGGUACUGUAAGAAUAAGCACCGGCUAACUACGUGCCAGCCGCCGCGGUAA